UACGAAGGGGGCUAGCGUUGUUCGGAAUUACUGGGCGUAAAGCGCACGUAGGCGGAAUGUUAAGUCAGGGGUGAAAUCCCGGGGCUCAACCCCGGAACUGCCUUUGAUACUGGCAUUCUCGAGUCCGGAAGAGGUGAGUGGAAUUCCGAGUGUAGAGGUGAAAUUCGUAGAUAUUCAGAGGAACACCAGUGGCGAAGGCGGCUCACUGGUCCGGUACUGACGCUGAGGUGCGAAAGCGUGGGGAGCAAACAGG
rnacentral:rRNA from 1 species